AGCCACCAAGCAUUCACUAGGAUCUUGCUCUCCGCUGGAAUGUCAUAGCCCGCAAGCUUGGCGUCGUGGAGGUUCAUGUGAGGGACGAGUAAUGGGAUGGUCAUACGAAGGCGGAGAGUCUCCUUGACCACGGCUUGGAGGUAUGGGAGCUUUUGUGUGUCUGGCUCAGUGAUUGGAACACCGGGUCCGAGUACGGUGUCGAGUUCAUUUCUUAGCUUUCUUUGGAUUUCUGGGUGGUUCACUAGCUCCGCGAUUCCCCAUUCAAUCGACCAUAAUGUUGUUUCAAUUGCUGUUCAACAAUGUAAACAAGAAACUCAAUGUCAUUAUCUAUCAUUGUUCUUUGUUUUUGUCACCAUCAUUUAUAGUUUAGAUUUAUAAUGUGACCAAUUUUUCAAUAGUGUUGUGGUUGUGGCUGUGGGUAGCUAUCUUAGCUAUUUCAAUUGAUGCUUCCUAUUUUCGGG
rnacentral:lncRNA from 1 species